GAUCCUGGCUCAGAUUGAACGCUGGCGGCAGGCCUAACACAUGCAAGUCGAGCGGUAGAGAGAAGCUUGCUUCUCUUGAGAGCGGCGGACGGGUGAGUAAUGCCUAGGAAUCUGCCUGGUAGUGGGGGAUAACGUCCGGAAACGGACGCUAAUACCGCAUACGUCCUACGGGAGAAAGCAGGGGGACCUUCGGGCCUUGCGCUAUCAGAUGAGCCUAGGUCGGAUUAGCUAGUUGGUGGGGUAA
rnacentral:rRNA from 1 species